rnacentral:rRNA from 1 species
UACGUAGGGUGCAAGCGUUAAUCGGAAUUACUGGGCGUAAAGCGUGCGCAGGCGGUUGUGUAAGACAGAUGUGAAAAUCCCCGGGGCUCAACCCCUGGGAACUGCAUUUGUGACUGCACAGCUGGAGUGCGGCAGAGGGGGAUGGAAUUCCCGCGUGUAGCAGUGAAAAUGCGUAGAUAUGCGGAGGAACACCGAUGGCGAAGGCAAUCCCCUGGGCCUGCACUGACU